rnacentral:rRNA from 1 species
UGGGGAAUAUUGCACAAUGGGCGAAAGCCUGAUGCAGCAACGCCGCGUGAGCGAUGAAGGUCUUCGGAUCGUAAAGCUCUGUCCUCAAGGAAGAUAAUGACGGUACUUGAGGAGGAAGCCCCGGCUAACUACGUGCCAGCAGCCGCGGUAAUACGUAGGGGGCUAGCGUUAUCCGGAAUUACUGGGCGUAAAGGGUGCGUAGGCGGUCUUUCAAGCCAGAAGUGAAAGGCUACGGCUCAACCGUAGUAAGCUUUUGGAACUGUAAGACUUGAGUGCAGGAGAGGAGAGUGGAAUUCCUAGUGUAGCGGUGAAAUGCGUAGAUAUUAGGAGGAACACCAGUUGCGAAGGCGGCUCUCUGGACUGUAACUGACGCUGAGGCACGAAAGCGUGGGGAGCAAACA